UCCGGUUUGUCACCGGCAGUCCCAUUAGAGUGCCCAACUGAAUGUGGCAACUAAUGGCAAGGGUUGCGCUCGUUGCGGGACUUAACCCAACAUCUCACGACACGAGCUGACGACAGCCAUGCAGCACCUGUGUCCAGGUUCCCUUUCGGGCACCCCUCCAUCUCUGGAGGGUUCCUGGCAUGUCAAGGGUAGGUAAGGUGGGGAUGACGUAGUACACCUGAAC
rnacentral:misc_RNA from 1 species